rnacentral:lncRNA from 1 species
GAUCUCGCUAUGUAGCCCAGGCUGGCCUUGAAGUUGCAUCGAUCCUCCUGCCUUGGCCUCCAGAAUGCUGAGAUGACAAGCAUGCACCACAACGCCCAGCUCAUCACUGUUUUGUUUCUUUUUGUUUUGGGGGGGUACCAGGGAUCGAACUCAGGACCUUGGGCUUGCAAGGGCUCCCUCCAUCUCUGUGGGCUCAGAGCAGAUCCCAGGCCUCCUUCAAGAGUAGAGGAACCACCUGCUGCAGACCAUGGAACUUACCCCCAAGGGACUGGGGAAUAUUUGCUGCCAUCAUCCUUGGGGAGCCUCCAUCAUCUCAUUUAAUCUUUCUAAGCAUCUUUUCCAACCUUCCCUCCCCAACCCAGGUAGGUAUUGUGUACUCCCUUUCUUAGAAAGGGCACUGAGGCUUGGAGGUGGGAGGGAGCAGGAUCUAUUUGUGUUGUCUGAGGUCACCUGGCCAGGCAGUUGGUGAGCUGGAAUCGGAAUCCAGCCUGGCUGAC